rnacentral:rRNA from 1 species
CCUACGGGAGGCAGCAGUGAGGAAUAUUGGGCAAUGGGGGCAACCCUGACCCAGCCAUGCCGCGUGAGUGAAGAAGGUCUUCGGAUUGUAAAGCUCUUUCGGACGUGACGAUGAUGACGGUAGCUAAGGAGCAAGCCACGGCUAACUACGUGCCAGCAGCCGCGGUAAUACGUAGGUGGCAAGCGUUGUCCGGAAUUACUGGGUGUAAAGGGAGCGCAGGCGGGAAGCCAAGUCAGCUGUGAAAACUACGGGCUUAACUUGUAGACUGCAGUUGAAACUGGUUUUCUUGAGUGAAGUAGAGGUUGGCGGAAUUCCGAGUGUAGCGGUGAAAUGCGUAGAUAUUCGGAGGAACACCGGUGGCGAAGGCGGCCAACUGGGCUUUAACUGACGCUGAGGCUCGAAAGUGUGGGGAGCAAACAGGAUUAGAUACCCCUGUAGUC